AUACGGAGGGAGCUAGCGUUGUUCGGAAUUACUGGGCGUAAAGCGCACGUAGGCGGCUUUGUAAGUUAGGGGUGAAAGCCCGGAGCUCAACUCCGGAAUUGCCUUUAAGACUGCAUCGCUUGAAUCCGGGAGAGGUGAGUGGAAUUCCGAGUGUAGAGGUGAAAUUCGUAGAUAUUCGGAAGAACACCAGUGGCGAAGGCGGCUCACUGGACCGGUAUUGACGCUGAGGUGCGAAAGCGUGGGGAGCAAACA
rnacentral:rRNA from 1 species